GUGUACACCGUCAGCCCAACCCCCUCCCCUUACCGAACUCUUCACAUCGGGUAGCACUGAAUCACAUAUAGGUACACACUGUCCAGAUACCGUAUCCAGCUCAUCAUUGCAGCCACAGCCGCUCCUCCGCCCUCCCUCCCUGGGCAUUCUCGUCCCCUUCCCUCCCUCCCUCUCUCUGCUCCAAACUCACGUACGUCACCGGAUCGGAGGAGCGAUGUCCCUGUCUGCCGCAUCGUCCAUCGCCUUCCGCGAGGAGGCGCCCAACAAAAAGCAUCGGGAGGACACGAGGAUAACCGAGAGUGUCGCCACCAUCUCCAUACGGGAGGAGCCCAGCGAAGGCCACCGGGACGACAAGGUAGCCGAGAGUGUCGCCACCAUCUCCAUACGGGAGGAGCCCAGCGAAGGCCACCGGGACGACAAGGUAGCCGAGAGUGUCGCCACCAUCUCCAUACGGGAGGAGCCCAGCGAAGGCCACCGGGACGACAAGGUAGCCGAGAGUGUCACCUCCAUCUCCAUACGGGAGGAGCCCAGCGAAGGCCACCGGGACGACAAGGUAGCCGAGAGUGUCGCCACCAUCUCCAUACGGGAGGAGCCCAGCGAAGGCCACCGGGAGGACAAGGUAGCCGAGAGUGUCGCCACCAUCUCCAUACGGGAGGAGCCCAGCGAAGGCCACCGGGACGACAAGGUAGCCGAGAGUGUCACCUCCAUCUCCAUACGGGAGGAGCCCAGCGAAGGCCACCGGGACGACAAGGUAGCCGAGAGUGUCGCCACCAUCUCCAUACGGGAGGAGCCCAGCGAAGGCCACCGGGACGACAAGGUAGCCGAGAGUGUCGCCACCAUCUCCAUACGGGAGGAGCCCAGCGAAGGCCACCGGGCGGGCAUGAAGGUACACGAGAGUGUCACCUCCAUCUCCAUACGGGAGGAGUCAGCCGAGGAGCCUGAAGAGCUGCACUACGAAAUGAGCAUCAGCACCGCGCCCAACGCAAGCACGCACAAGGAAGACAUCGAGUUCCAAGUGGUGGACGACAUCGCAUCGAAAUCGGAGAGGAGUCUGCCGUACCAGGUCGAGGACAGCCGCACAAACCUUGACCGACUCACAUCCACGCAACAGGAGGAAAGUGCCGCGGCACCGCGGCCGUCGCACCCGAGCGAUGUGGCAGCAGCACCAACCAGUGAUAUCUACGCCCUCAACCCUCCGCCCUCUCGCCUGUCGCAGCGGGCCGCCAAGGCCGCGCAAACGCCUCGCUCGCAGACCAGCGCUCCUAUCACGCCGAGAACCCGGUCGGCAACCAGCACUUACCGCCCACCGGCUCAGCAGCAGCAGGCCAAAGAAGAGAAGCAGGACGCUGAGGUGCAGCCACUGGUCUCUGGUGGCGAGAGCGCACCUACGCCGGAGACCGCCGCCAAUGACUUGUCCAUGGCGGGCGCGGAGUCGACACCAGCUGGCGCCGCCCCGAUGCCCACGCCCGGCGCUACAAGCGCAGGGAUUCCUGACGUGGUCGUUACGGAGCACAAGCGGCAUUUCUCAGGCGACAAGUGGGAGAGUGUGGUGGCAUCCUCGCUCGAUGUGGUGAAGCGGACCGUGUGCAACGAGACGGCGGACGCGAUAGGGGUGGAGUCGCAGUAUGUGCAGGUGCUAAAUGUGGAGGCGACGACGACAGGCAUGACUUGCUACAUCAGUAUUGGCCACUCCCCCAGCAUGACGGCGAGCGAGGUCGAUGAGAAGCUGAGCAACUACCCCUACGAGACAACAAUAACGCUGCCGGACAUCCUCACAGCCGGCGGCGAGCAUCCGCAGUACGGCCUCGGCAGUGCCCUUGCCCCCUCGGAGGGCACGCAGGCGGCAGCGAGUGCGCAUGAGCAGCAGGUGGGGGAAGAAGAGGAGGGGGAAGCCGAAGCUGAAGCGUCGGAGGAGCCUCCAAAGAAGGCGAAGAGAAAGACGGAAAGAGCACACAAGAAACUCGAAAACGGCUCAGCGGCCUCAGAUGCCCAGAAGGCCACGGCUCGCCCCUCGGUCCGCGCACUCCACAAGAAGUUGGGGCUCAAGGCGCUUCCCGAACUGCUCGUCACUCCGCGGAUCUACCAUUACCGCUCGCCGCGUCCAGGCGCGGAGCAUAGCAUGGAUAAGGGGAGCAUUCUCUACUUGGAGGGUCCCAGGGAGGGUACUGGCGGGCUCAGCAGCCGCUACUCGACCUCCACUGCGACGCCGCACCGCGGCACUAACGGCGUGAAUGGCAUAAACGGCAGUCGUAGCCCAUCCGCUCCGACUUACCGCAGCGGGUCCAUCAGAAAUUCGGUGCACAUCCCACCACAGCGCGUGGAGCGCGGUGUCGUCUCCCUGGCACUCCGUAAGCGCCAGAUAAUCCAGGCGGCGGCGCCGCCGUCGCCUCCACAGCAGCAGCAGCGCGCAACGGCAGCGCCCGCAGACGAUGCCAGCGCGCACCGCUACAUGAACGGAGUCGAUCACACGGCUAACACGCACUCAGUCUCCCGCCGCUCCCGUUCCCGCUCCCCACAGCAGCUGGCGCUCGCCCCGGCGACGGACUCGGCGUCCGAUGCGGCUUCCGAAGAGGCGGCAGUGACGGCCGCUCCCAUGGCCGCCAGCGGCUCAGCGGCCGAUCAGGAUGACUACAUUCUCAUGACUCAAGGUGUCGAGGAGGCGGCAGACGCGGAAGAGUUGCUGCAGAAGCAGAAGGCAGUGGCAGAGUACGACACUGCCGAUGACGAGGACGAUCCGGUUCCGGCCCCCGCGCCCAACCCGUUUGUGUAGGCCAAUCGAUCGACCAAUACGAAAGGGAGAGUAAAGGCAGCCCCGACCUCCGAAGGAAUACACUGUGCAUCUUUUCCCGCAUGCCUUCAUACACCACGUGGGAUGGCGAGAGGGCGUUUACGGGCUCCUUCGUGCCUUUCCCACCCACCCACCCACCCCUCCUCCUCCCUCCCUCCCUUGGCGACAGGCAUUUACUUCUCGACUUUUCUUUCUUCUCAGAACAGAUAUCGAUGCAGUGGCACACAAGCACAUGCACAAACGCACGCACGCGCGCGCGCCUCCGUACGUCUUCCCGUUGCACCUCCGAUAAACGCUGUGGGGCUUCUCGAAGGAUCGAAAAAGUGAAAAAAGGCAAGCGAGAAGGACUGCUGGCACACGCGCUUAUCCACAGAAUGGAGGCCUGGAGAGGCGAAUGGUCGGGCAAACUCAUGAAGUUGAAGGGUGUCACCUCCCCGAUGACGCCCUGUGUAUACGGGUGUGUAUAUAUAUAUAUAUAUGUGUGUGUGCGGUGAGCGAUGAGUGGUGGCUCAAGGUUCGUGGGUAACGCAUGGCGUGCCUCCGCCCUUGCCCUCCCCUUCUUUCCUCCUCUUUUUCCUCUCGGUUUUCGUCUUUUCGCGGUCAUGUCGCGUUCUGUUAUCGCUGAGAUCUGUGGUGUUGUCUUACCCUGUACCGACCCCUUGCCUUCUAUGCUUUUUCUUCUUUCAUCUUUUUGCGCUCCCAAGACGUUUAGGCCCUGAGGAUGCCAUCCACCUCGCCCUGGUAUCAGGGCCUAGUAUCCCCACACUCUUCGUGUCGGCGGACAGGUCUGGGCUGGUGCUGUGCCGAAGAGACCUGCAGUCAUGACCACGCUUGGAGCAGCUCACUGCGUAUUGUGUCGACGCUUCAACGAAUGCUCGCAUGCACCUCCUGUUUUCUGCUUUAGCUGCGUUGUGGCAAUGCCGAGCGUAAUCCUGGGCCCACCCUGCGCUGCUCGCAGCGACAUUGCAGUGGGGGUGGGGGUGGGGGGCCGAAACGACAUCGAGCGAUGUUGGCUUGGCCCGAUGCGCUUGGCUUAGCCGUAGUGCCGCAGAGGUCGAUGAGCUGUGGUGUUGCCAUGCGUGUGUGCGUAUGUGGUUGACCUGUUCGAAUGUGGGCACGUUGCCAAAGCAUUUUUUUUUUUCGAAGUCAAGCACACGUUUGUUUGCGUUUACGUUUGUUUGUUGCUCAUUAGGUGCGCCCUCUACCCCCCCCCCUCUCCUCCACCUUUUUUUGUAAGGGCUUACGGUUUUGUUUGGUCCUCUCCGCCACCUGUUUUCUUUUUGAUUUUGGUUGUGCGUUACUCAAAUCGUACGCGUUCGCUGUUAAAGGAUGGUGCGGGUGCCGGUGUGUGUGUGUGUUGUGCCCUCAUGCACCGCUUCGCGCUCCUCCUCCCCCCUUCCUCCUCUUCCGCCGCCCCCCCCUAUCUCACGCACGCACAUAGAAUGGCACACACAUGCAACCGCGCGCGCGCGGUUGCAUGAGGAGAAGGACUGAGCGUCACUCUCCAAGUCUCUUGUGCUCUUUUUUUAUGUGUGUGGAAGUAUGUAGGCAUGGACAGCUGCAGUGGCGCUGCGGGUUUGUAUCGAGUGCAGUGCACGUCUGGCUCCGUAUAAGCGUGGACGUGCAACUCUUUGGUUCACCCUCUCCUUCUCUCCUGUUGCGGUUGUUGCCUUCGUCUUGUUCUCUCUGCGCGUGUCUGAAUGUGCCAUUACGUAGUGGCAUCUGUGGUGUGGUGUCCUUGUUCGUUCCUUCGCUGUGUGCCGACCUCCACCUCUUUUCUGUAUGCCUCCCUCUCUUUGCGUGCCGUCUCUGUCUCUCCGUCCCCAUAAGGCGCGCUUACAUGUACGCAGAUAUUUACGCGUCCUUCGUGGGGAGGGGAGGGGAGGGGGGAGUUGAUUGGCCUCGGUAGUAUUUCUCCGGUUGUUUUCGCUUUUUUUUUGCUUUCAUAGAGGGGAGGAGGCGUGCGGCGCAGUAUGUCGUCGUUUCGGAGGGAGGGAGUUUUGUGUUAUUUUGUCUGUGAACGCUUGUAAAACCGUACCUGUAUGCGCACGCAUCUCUUGUUGUGGUGACCACCAACUCCCUCACCCACACCCUCACCCCCUCCGCCGGUCCCCUUGCCAGACUUCCUUCCGCGUUGCGUGUUGCGUUGUGCCUUGUGCGUGUGUGCAUGCGGUUUGUCUUCGAGAGCUGCUUUGGUGUCGCCGUCGUCUCUUCGUCUUUCUCAUUCCCUUCCACGCAACAGUCGAAGAAGAGGAAUAUGACAAAAAGCGGAGGGCAGGACCGCGAGUACGCACAGCAGCAUCACCAUCGCUACGGACAGGUGUCGCGCACAGCGUCAGGGGAGAGGAGGCGUGGAUGGGGAAGAAGGGGGGGGGACGAAAAGAAACAGUUAGCACUGGUAGUGCACACUUGGUGGGGUCGCACACGAGAAUAGGAAGUUAGAAGCGAUGUGGAAAGACGGUAUGGUGUGGUGCGUGCUGUAUCGGUUGGGUGGGAGCAGCGGCUGCGCGUGAUAGGCACGGCACAAGGGCGAAGAGUGCCGCGAGGUGUGUACCUGAGCCCGCUCGAUUCACUGGCCUCCACCCACCCCCUAUUGCUCCGUCCAUCUCUGCCCUGCUUCCCUCAUCCUUUCUCCGCGCGUGACCGCUUGAAGAAGUCUGUGGUCGAGCAUUUUGAAAGUGUAGGGAAGCAGCAGAUGUGCGUCUGCGCCUAUGUGCAUCAACGUAGCGUAAUAUGGUGCUCACCUUACGCUUCCGAUGAAGGCCCAUGCACAGAAGGCCCUUCUCAAAGAGGUGGUGCUGUUGGUAGUGCGCCCCCCUCCUCAACACACCACCCUCCCGGCGCGGGGAAGGUUCAUCCGCUGAAGGUGAAUGCUGUGACCCAUCCUUCUUUGCGAGCCUCUUUCUUAUCUGCAAAACGCCAUCGUGUUGCCACCGGCGCCUCCCCACCCUCCCUGUCCUCGUAGCCCACCAACACAU
rnacentral:misc_RNA from 1 species